rnacentral:rRNA from 1 species
UACAGAGGUCUCAAGCGUUGUUCGGAUUCAUUGGGCGUAAAGGGUGCGUAGGCGGCGCGGUAAGUCGGGGUGUGAAAUCUCGGAGCUUAACUCCGAAACUGCAUUCGAUACUGCCGUGCUUGAGGACUGGGAGAGGAGACUGGAAUUUACGGUGUAGCGGUGAAAUGCGUAGAUAUCGUAAGGGAAGACCAGUGGCGAAGGCGGGGUCUCUGGACAGUUCCUGACGCUGAGGCACGAAGGUCAGGGGAGCAAACGGGG